AACCUAAAAUAAAUAAAUUUAUAUCAUUGACACCACAAGUCAAUAUUUUAUCAUAUUAAACUAUUUAAGU
rnacentral:tRNA from 1 species